CUUUUCACAGGCCAUCAGAUUAUUUUAUGAUUUUCAUCAACUUCCCAUCUCUCUUUCCCUCGUUCUUUUCUCUAUCUUCGUACCUGCAAACUUCCUCGCCCUCUUCUCUCACUCGUUUGUCCCUCCUCUCCCUUGGUUGUCUUCUUCCCUGUCCUCUUCUAGGCCAAACGGCUACUACUUAGGUCGGGAAAAAUGGUGGUGGGGGCCUUGGCGUUCGGAUUCCUAACCUUGCCACACGAUUGAAGCCGUUUCUCGAGAAAGCUAAAGAAACCCUAAAAAAAUCUGACCCCCCAUUCUCUAGUUGUAGUGCAAGGGAAUUAUGAAGAUCCAACGUUUAAGUU